CAGUAGCCACGGUAAUACGAAGGGUGCAAGCGUUAAUCGGAAUUACUGGGCGUAAAGCGUGCGUAGGCGGUUUGUUAAGUCUGCUGUGAAAUCCCCGGGCUCAACCUGGGAAUGGCAGUGGAUACUGGCUCGCUAGAGUGUGUCAGAGGAUGGUGGAAUUCCCGGUGUAGCGGUGAAAUGCGUAGAGAUCGGGAGGAACAUCAGUGGCGAAGGCGGCCAUCUGGGACAACACUGACGCUGAGGCACGAAAGCGUGGGGAGCAAACAGGAUUAGAUACCCCAGUAGUCCCUGUCUCUUAUAA
rnacentral:rRNA from 1 species